GGGGGGGGGUCUGCAGCAAAUUGGGACAACACCCUAUGAAAAUAUUUGGAGCAGGGAAAUGAAAAGGUAUACCGUGAUUCCAUAGGCAGGAUGUCUGCGACAAAGUCUCAAGUUCUUUAAAGAGUCCUUGUCCUCCAUUGUUACCGAAAGGAAAAGAGCCCUGGUGUUUUUUUUUUCCUUCUUCUUCUUCUCUCUCUUGUAAGAACAAAAGACGCCAUGGCUGUCUCUUUCUCUCCAAACAAAUUUGUUUUUCUGUAUUUGGGUGUUGGCAUUUAACUCUUUCUAAACUAGGUGUUCUAUGAAUAUUUGCCACCCAAUAACAGAUGGCUUAUAAGAGCUGUUCAGAAUUUUUUGUAGAUUCCCUUGACUUAAUAACAAGAAGGAUCCAGAUGGAGCUAAAGGAGAACAUGUUACCUGUUUCAGAUGACAUUGAACUGAUUCCACAAAAUACCUGAUUCUUUAUGGUGUACUGAGUCCAGAGAAAGGAAGAAACUCAAAGGGAGACAACGAUUUCCAAAUCAAGAUGGCAGUUCCACUGCUGAGAGGUUCAGAAAGUGAACCAGUGCAUGAUUGCUGAGUAUGUCCAUCCAAGACAGGGAUUCUUUAGCAUGGACGAUUGUCUAAACUACAGAAGAUCUGAGCUAAUUCUGUGUUUCCAGAAUCUUGGGUUUAGCACCCAUCUGGGGAUGAAGGGCUGGAAGGGGCUGAUCAAAUUUUUGCAAACCAGGAAUGUAUAAAAAUGUCUGUCCCCUAUUUAAUUGGCAGAAGUGCAUUGCUAUUUAAAUGGUUUAAAUAAAAGUGUUU